AGGAUGGUGCCAGAGUUCUUGGUCUUGGGCAAGCCUUAAUCAACCAGGAGCCUCUUCUUCCAAAAGCCUCUCCAGUAUGAUGCCUGAUUGUGCUGAAUAAAGACUCCUAAAUCCACCAGCUUCAGUAUCUCUCCGGUGACUUUGAUCACAGUCACAACAAUGCUGCUUGACCUGCUGAGUACUUCCGACGUGUUCCACUUUUAACCAUUUAAAUAGUGUGAGUCUGACACUUUGUAUUCAGAGGGAUCUGGAAAUUGUUGUAGAAUAUCAUGGGAAGUUAAUGUGUGGAUACAGCAAGUAUUUAGAAAGGCAAAUAAAAUGGUAGCUUUUAGAACAUAGAUCAGUGGAGCACAGUGUAGCCUUUAGACCCAUGAUGUUGGGCCGACCUGCAUAAACCUACUCCAUGAUCAACCCAUCCAUAUCCCAUA